UGGCUGGGCUGCCUGGUGGCGGGGCGCUGGAUCGGGUUCUUGUAAGGCCGGGACAGGCGGGGCGCCUCAAGCGGCGUCUUCGAGCGCCGCCUCGACCAGC
rnacentral:tRNA from 1 species